GUCGGAUGCAUUGAUGCAGGGGCCAUGAUGAUAGCAUGCCGGAUGCAUUGAGGCAGGGCAACUAUCAUAUAAAAAGAUGCUGUUUGAGGCUUGUUGCAACAGGCAAAAGGGUAAUGAAAUCCCAGAACUUACUAGAGGAAUUGAAUAAAUUAAUAGAAGACAAGGGAGACUCAUGAGAGGUUUUGGAGGGCCUACUUGGUUACAUCCUGUGUUCCACCCAGGAGGCAGUUGUUCCACCAUAUGUUGCUCUUGCCAUAAGACCAAAUCCUGGAUUCUGAGAAUUUGUUAAGGUGAACUCCGAGGACUUGUC